UUGCAGUGUGUUAAAAUAUCCAGCAAUGUAUACAGUCUCUACUAUAUAAAGCUGAAGGACUUUUCACCUCAAGAAUCUGGUUGCCUCAUUCCUAGCUUGCCUUGGGAUGUAACAUUUAAUGAAAGUUCAGGAAUUUGAUUCCUUUGUGAUCUCAAUGAAAAUGUUGCAGCUCCUUGGCCUUCUGGUCCUAUUGUUUCUGCUUCUUCUUCCGGCAAUAAAACCAGCACAAGUACGCAUGCAAUUUCUUUUCUUUGUUUGUUAAGUAAUGCAAUAAUGUCCUCUGCAGCUCAUGACAGUCAUCUUAGACUUCGGCUACCUAUUUGAGAAAUUAUCAUCUUCUUUUCUUCUUUUAUUCCCCUUGUCUUUUGAUUGUUCCCUUGUAUCUUUUGUCAAAUUUAACUUCCACUAUUGCAGGUAGUAUACUACCAAAAAUACCCACUGCAGCAUCUGCUCAAAUAGGACUGUGGAUUAGCAAGUUGAUGCUUGCUUUACUGGCCACCUCAAACAUUCUCUGAUUUUUCGAAACAAAAGUUAAUACCAUAUCAGAUGACAUAUACAUGUGCAUGGCUCUUGCAAGAGAAAACUCCUGAUACAUUUGUUUCUGAAAAAGAUAAAAAAUCAUUCCAUACAAGUUUGAUAUGUUCAUAGAUAAUUGCUGCCAAAGAAGCAGACAUAAAAGGCUCAAGUCACACAGAAAAGUUGAUGUGCAAGCUUCUUCUAUUCAUUUAUUCUAAAUGUAGAUACUUAACUCCGUAAGGGAUUUGAAUGUUAUUCCGAUCCUUCUCUAACAUGCAUAUACAAUCCUAACCCCAAUCAAAAGGAUUUAACUAAAGAAUUAUCAGUGGAACUAGAUAUAUAAUUGCUUGAAAUGGAAAUCUAGAAAAAGCGCAAACAUAGAAAGGU